UACGGGGGGGGCAAGCGUUGUUCGGAAUUACUGGGCGUAAAGGGCUCGUAGGUGGCCAACUAAGUCAGACGUGAAAUCCCUCGGCUUAACCGGGGAACUGCGUCGGAUACUGGAUGGCUUGAAUCCGGGAGAGGGAUGCGGAAUUCCAGGUGUAGCGGUGAAAUGCGUAGAUAUCUGGAGGAACACCGGUGGCGAAGGCGGCAUCCUGGACCGGCAUUGACGCUAAAGCGCGAAAGCCAGGGGAGCAAACGGG
rnacentral:rRNA from 1 species